rnacentral:rRNA from 1 species
UACGUAGGUGGCAAGCGUUGUCCGGAAUCACUGGGCGUAAAGCGCGCGCAGGCGGCGAUCUACGUCUGGGGUGAAAGCCCGGAGCUCAACUCUGGGACUGCCUUGGAUACGGGAUCGCUUGAGGAUUGGAGAGGCAAGGGGAAUUCCACGUGUAGCGGUGAAAUGCGUAGAGAUGUGGAGGAACACCUGUGGCGAAGGCGCCUUGCUGGCCAAUUACUGACGCUGAGGCGCGAAAGCGUGGGGAGCAAACAGG